rnacentral:tRNA from 1 species
GGAGAGGUGCCAGAGCGGUUGAAUGGGCCGGACUCGAAAUCCGGUGUACGGCUCCGCCGUACCGUGGGUUCGAAUCCCACCCUCUCCGCCA